rnacentral:rRNA from 1 species
GAUGAACGCUGGCGGCGUGCCUAAUACAUGCAAGUCGAGCGAACGGACGAUAAGCUUGCUUCUCUGAUGUUAGCGGCUGACGUGUGAGUAACACGUGGAUAACCUACCUAUAAGACUGGGAUAACUUCGUGAAACCGGAGCUAAUACCGGAUAAUAUUUUGAACCUCAUGGUUCAAAAGUGAAAGACGGUCUUGCUGUCACUUAUAGAUGGAUCGGCGCUGCAUUAGCUAGUUGGUAAGGUAACGGCUUACGAAGGCAACGAUGCAUAGCAGACCUGAGAGGGUGAUGGGCCAAACUGGAACUGAGAAACGGUCCAGACUCCUAGGGGAGGCAGCAGUAGGGAAUCUUCGGCAAUGGGCGAAAGCCUGACGGAGAAACGCCGCGUGAGUGAUGAAGGUCUUCGGAUGGUAAAACUCUGUUAUUAGGGAAGAACAUAUGUGUAAGUAACUGUGCACAUCGUGACGGUACCUAAUCAGAAAGCCACGGCUAACUACGUG